GCUGGGCAUGGUGGGGCAUACCUGUAAUCCCAGUGGCUUGGGAGGCUGAGGCAGGAGCAUUGAAAGUUCAAAGUCAGCCUCAGCGACUUAGAGAGUUCCUCAACAAUUUAGCAAGACCCUGCCUCAA
rnacentral:sRNA from 1 species